rnacentral:rRNA from 1 species
GACGUAGGGGGCGAGCGUUUGUCCGGAUUUAUUGGGCGUAAGCGUGCGUAGGCGGCUGCGCAAGUCGGUUGUGAAACCCCGGGGCUCAACCCCGGAACUGCAUCCGAUACUGCGUGGCUAGAGGUAGGUAGGGGGAGAUCGGAAUUCCUGGUGUAGCGGUGAAAUGCGCAGAUAUCAGGAGGAACACCGGUGGCGAAGGCGGAUCUCUGGGCCUUACCUGACGCUCAGGCACGAAAGCUAGGGGAGCGAACAGG